rnacentral:rRNA from 1 species
UUCCGGUUGAUCCUGCCGGAGGCUACCGCUAUUGGAGUUCGAUUAAGCCAUGCGAGUCGCGAGAAAUUAGAUUCUCGGCGUACCGCUCAGUAACACGUGGGUAACCUGCCCUAUGCUGGAUAAUAACCUCGGGAAACUGAGAAUAAUGAUCCAUAGUUCACUACGCCUGGAACGGUGAGUGGAUGAAAGCUCCGGCGGCAUAGGAUGGGCCUGCGGCGUAUCAGGUUGUAGGGGGUGUAACGUACCCUCUAGCCCUCUACGCGUACGGGUGUUGGGAGACAUAGCCCGGAGAUGGAUUCUGAGACACGAAUCCAGACCCUACGGGGUGCAGCAGGCGCGAAAACUUGGCAAUGCGAGAAAUCGUGACCAGGGAACUCCAAGUGCAUCGGGUAAGACCGGUGCUUUUCUUGACUCUAAAUAGGUCUUGGAAUAAGGGGUGGGUAAGGACGGUGCCAGCCGCCGCGGUAAUACCGGCGCCUCAAGUGGUAGUCGCUUUUAUUGGGCCUAAAACGUCCGUAGCCGGUCUGAUACAUUCGUGGGUAAAUCAACCAGCUUAACUGGUUGAAUUCUGCGAGGACGGUCAGACUUGGGACCGGGAGAGGUGUGGGGUACGCUCAGGGUAGGGGUAAAAUCCUGUCAUCCUGAGCGGACCACCUGUUGCGAAGGCGCCACACUAGAACGGAUCCGACGGUCAGGGACGAAGCCUAGGGGCACGAACCGGAUUAGAUACCCGGGUAGUCCUAGGUGUAAACGCUGUGGACUUGAU